rnacentral:rRNA from 1 species
UCCGGGAAACUGGAAUUAAUACCGCAUACGCCCUACGGGGGAAAGAUUUAUCGGGGAAGGAUUGGCCCGCGUUGGAUUAGCUAGUUGGUGGGGUAAAGGCCUACCAAGGCGACGAUCCAUAGCUGGUCUGAGAGGAUGAUCAGCCACAUUGGGACUGAGACACGGCCCAAACUCCUACGGGAGGCAGCAGUGGGGAAUAUUGGACAAUGGGCGCAAGCCUGAUCCAGCCAUGCCGCGUGAGUGAUGAAGGCCUUAGGGUUGUAAAGCUCUUUCACCGAUGAAGAUAAUGACGGUAGUCGGAGAAGAAGCCCCGGCUAACUUCGUGCCAGCAGCCGCGGUAAUACGAAGGGGGCUAGCGUUGUUCGGAAUUACUGGGCGUAAAGCGCACGUAGGCGGAUAUUUAAGUCAGGGGUGAAAUCCCGCAGCUCAACUGCGGAACUGCCUUUGAUACUGGGUAUCUUGAGUAUGGAAGAGGUAAGUGGAAUUCCGAGUGUAGAGGUGAAAUUCGUAGAUAUUCGGAGGAACACCAGUGGCGAAGGCGGCUUACUGGUCCA